UCCAGGUUUGGGGCAUGAACCUGGCAUACAAUGUAGAUUUCUGUGUUUGUUAAGCAACAGCUACAUUGUCUGCUGGGUUUCCAGCUGCCUG
rnacentral:pre_miRNA from 1 species